UACGUAGGGUGCAGGCGUUAAUCGGAAUUACUGGGCGUAAAGCGUGCGCAGGCGGUUUGCUAAGACAGGUGUGAAAUCCCCGGGCUUAACCUGGGAACUGCGCUUGUAACUGGCAAGCUAGAGUGUGGCAGAGGGGGGUGGAAUUCCACGUGUAGCAGUGAAAUGCGUAGAGAUGUGGAGGAACACCGGUGGCGAAGGCGGCUAUCUGGACAGAGUCUGACGCUGAGGCGCGAAAGCUAGGGGAGCAAACAGG
rnacentral:rRNA from 1 species